AUUGAACGCUAGCGGGAGGCUUUACACAUGCAAGUCGAGCGAGCGGAGGACGGGUGAGAAAUGUAUGGGGACUGCCCGAUAGCGGGGGAUAACGACUGGAAACGGUAGCUAAUACCGCAUACUAUCGGAUAACCCAUAUGGGAUGAGCUAGUAGGUGAGGUAAUGGCCCACCUAGGCGACGAACCCUAGCUGGUCUGAGAGGAUGAUCAGCCACACUGGGACGUAGAAACGGCCCAGACUCCUACGGAGGCAGCAUUGGGGAAUAUUGCACAAUGGGCGCGAGCCUGAUGCAGCCAUGGCGCGUGUAUGAAGAAGGCCCUAGGGUUGGAAAGUACUUUCAGUCGGGAGGCGUUACCUACAGAAGAAGCACCGGCUAACUCCGUGCCAGCAGCCGCGGUAAUAC
rnacentral:rRNA from 1 species